rnacentral:rRNA from 1 species
CGGGCUAACAUCAGAUGAUAUAUAAUCACGACAUCGUGGAAAUAUCAAAUCUUCGGGAGCCUUGGGAUGAGCCUGCGUCCGAUUAGGUAGUUGGCGGAGUAAUAGCCCACCAAGCCUACGAUCAGUAGCUGGUCUGAGAGGAUGAUCAGCCACACUGGAACUGAGACACGGUCCAGACUCCUACGGGAGGCAGCAGUAAGGAAUAUUGCUCAAUGGGGGGAAACCCUGAAGCAGCAACGCCGCGUGAAGGAUGAAAUACUUUUGUAUGUAAACUUCUGUAAGAUGGGAAAAUAUUCUCCUCGGGAGAAUUGAUUGUACCAUCAGAGUAAGCCCCGGCUAACUACGUG